rnacentral:rRNA from 1 species
UGGGGAAUAUUGCACAAUGGGCGAAAGCCUGAUGCAGCAACGCCGCGUGAGUGAUGAAGGUCUUCGGAUUGUAAAGCUCUGUCUUUUGGGACGAUAAUGACGGUACCAAAGGAGGAAGCCACGGCUAACUACGUGCCAGCAGCCGCGGUAAUACGUAGGUGGCGAGCGUUGUCCGGAUUUACUGGGCGUAAAGGGUGCGUAGGCGGAUGUUUAAGUGAGAUGUGAAAUACCCGGGCUUAACUUGGGUGCUGCAUUUCAAACUGGAUAUCUAGAGUGCAGGAGAGGAGAAUGGAAUUCCUAGUGUAGCGGUGAAAUGCGUAGAGAUUAGGAAGAACACCAGUGGCGAAGGCGAUUCUCUGGACUGUAACUGACGCUGAGGCACGAAAGCGUGGGUAGCAAACAGGAUUAGAUACCCUGGUAGUCCACGCCGUAAACGGUGAGUACUAGGUGUAGGAGGUAUCGACCCCUUCUGUGCCGCAGU